rnacentral:rRNA from 1 species
ACGUACACUCCUACGGGAGGCAGCAGUGGGGAAUAUUGGACAAUGGGCGCAAGCCUGAUCCAGCCAUGCCGCGUGAGUGAUGAAGGCCCUAGGGUUGUAAAGCUCUUUCACCGGUGAAGAUAAUGACGGUAACCGGAGAAGAAGCCCCGGCUAACUUCGUGCCAGCAGCCGCGGUAAUACGAAGGGGGCUAGCGUUGUUCGGAUUUACUGGGCGUAAAGCGCACGUAGGCGGACUAUUAAGUCAGGGGUGAAAUCCCGGGGCUCAACCCCGGAACUGCCUUUGAUACUGGUAGUCUUGAGUUCGAGAGAGGUGAGUGGAAUUCCGAGUGUAGAGGUGAAAUUCGUAGAUAUUCGGAGGAACACCAGUGGCGAAGGCGGCUCACUGGCUCGAUACUGACGCUGAGGUGCGAAAGCGUGGGGAGCAAACAGGAUUAGAUACCCGUGUAGUCCCAUGAU